ACGGUGCACCAGACCACCGCGAUCUCCAGAUCGAGGAAAGUCCGGGCACCCCCAUGCCACCGGCCAGAGAAGAUCUGGGCUGGCGUCUCCCGCCAGACCAACAGGGCCACAGAAAAGAACCACCCUUAGCCAUAGCAAUAUGGAGAAGGGAACGGGUGAAAAGGUAGGGUAAAAGCCUACCGCCGCAACGGUAACGAAGCGGGCAAAAGGGGUUGAUACUUGUCCGCAAGGAUACGGUUUCAAUCCGCGGUAACCUGCCGGAGGGUGCAAUACCGAAUAGGCCUCCCCAGUGGCGCGGCAUGCGUCCAGACGUUCGGCGUCAGGAGGAGGCGGGUUGGUAGCUUGACGGCCUACGCAAGUAGAGCCGCAGAUGAAUGGUGGUCACGUCUUGUAAAAGACGACAGAACCCGGCUUAUCGGUGCAACAGGAGA
rnacentral:RNase_P_RNA from 1 species